ensembl:snoRNA Gm22676 small nucleolar RNA SNORA11
GCAGGGUGUGCUCAGAGCAGGGGGCCUGAGGAAUGGCUCCUCUGUUUAUAACACACCCAAUAUAAACCUGGUCAUGAUGUGAGGAGGGCUACAAAGUUUGUUGCCGUCCCCCAAACACAUGUCCUACACAU